GGAGGGCAAGCUACGGGGCCAGCCUGGGAAACCUCCUGCAGGAGAGCACGGCUGUUCCCSGGACCUCCAGGAGUUUCUUGGGGAGAAAGAGGCCUCCGGAGGACUAAGAAAGUGGAGCCAGUGAAAGCAUAUUGCCUCCGCUGAUACUCUCCUCCUACAUUAAACGGUGGAAGAACAAGGCCUGUCUGAAAGAUGGAGUCAGGACCUACUUCCUCUACCUACAAAGUUCUUCUGGCAAUAAGAGGGAACAAGUUAAGGAUGUUUCUAAAGCAUUGAGCGGCUGUAUUUGACCAGAACAUUCGAAAGUAUUUUUUUAGGGCUGUCACGUUGCCUGUUGUUGCAUUUGUGCUUUUGUAGUGGUCUCACCUGUGUGCUUUUUUUUUCCCCUUAGCAUCGUGGGUUCCUUUGCUCCCAGCUGCAGGACUGGAUGACRAGGGACGCUGGGCAUGGUGCCGAUCAUGGCCACRUUCUGUUCAGCAGGCUGCUGCUUUUUGAGUUAUCAGGCUUGUGUUGUCCAGCAGAUGGAUCCAGCUUGCAGUGCAGUGACUGAGCUUGUCCCAUUCCCAUGGUGCCAGGGCACUUCAUGGCUGGCUUGGUGAAGCCGUCUUUGCAGAGCUCCUAARGGAUGGUUGUGAAUUCCUGGGGACCUCAGGAGAGUCCACCAGCUGGGAAAUCUUUUGGACUGAGCUCCUGUAGCAUCUAAGGCAAACAGCUAAUCCAGAAUACAGAUGCUUUUCUCUAGCUUUGAAGAGGAGUAUGGCUCUUGAUGUGCCAGAUAAAGGUAAAAGACAUUUCAAUGGGUAGCAGCUGGGCCUUGGAUCAAGACAUAUAUUUUUUUAGCAAAUCAGUUUUAUUUUAGCAAAUAAAACAGUUUGGGGUGUGGUGCUGCGGUCUGGUGCAGAGGAUCAAGAUCUCUCAGCCGUGUUCACUGGCAGGGCUUGUUAGUGGUAGCCAGGCUCUGUCUCCUCACGCGCUCUGCGUUUUCCAUGAUUUCCAGCCAAGAUACCUUUGGCUGGUAGGCACUGGCUGUUGUGCUCACUGCAAGGUGCAGCAGCUGAAAUUCUGGCCUACGUCAUGGAAGGUCUGACCAGAGGAUGGUCAGCCCUUCUGCUGUGGAAAUCUAUCGAUUUCUGGUAAACUAAGAUAUGCUGUGUUUAUAUAGCUCAACAUUGCUAAACCCUUCUUUUUUGAGCCUUAUAAAAUAAAUCAAUGUACAAGAGAAUAGGGGAGCAGUCACUGCCAUAAUGACAAAAUCAGUUCCUGUUUGCAUAGUUUUCUUAAAGCCCAAGGAGAUAUUCAGGGAGAUAUAUUUUUUUUCUUUCAAGGGCAUUUGGAGAAGAACAGACAAGCUUUUGGCACACAGUUCUGCAUCAGGCUUUGUUUAUUCAUAGGGACCCUAUAUAUUGUAGUGUUGCUGUUCUGACUGUUCCUUAGAAUGGAAACUGGAACCAAUGGUUUUGUAAUGA